UCAAUUCAGGCUACCUUUGGAAAUUGGAACCACCUUUGCUACCAAAUAAUGAUUGGAAUUGGUCAGGCUCUGGUGCUCUACCAUCACAUGCAGGAUUCAGCACUCAGAAAAGGCUACAGUGCAGAAUAGCCACAGAAAAGAACAACCACUAGUACCACUUGUGAAUAUAUCAGUGCUGGAAAGUGCAUGAGGAAUUUUCGGUUAGUUUCCUUUACACUUGCCUGGUCCAAAAUGGUUUAUUUUCAUUUUUCACUUAGCUCUUGCUUUCACCUCCUUAUCCUUUACACAAUGAAUGCGUUUUGGUGGGGAAGUUGCUUGCAAUGCUUUCUUUGAAGUUCCUUUAAUGUGUGGUUUUCCUUUCUCGUGAUGUUAGCUCAAGAGAUUCUUAGGUGCAUGAGUACAUUACUAGGUACUCAAUACUCGAAAUUUAUUCUGUAUACCAUUGACUUUAAUUAUAAUUUAGAAAAAUGCUAGAGAUUAAUUUACUAUUUGGCUGCAAGUGGAUUACUCCGGAACUUCUGUAUGCAUUAUUCAAGUAUAUUGCAGGAUAUUUGUCAUCUCGCAUGAAACUUCGUCAAAUUUCAGAAUUCAGAUUCUCUCCGGCCUUUGCUGCCAAUAAAUUAUCAUAAACUCUUUAAUUUAAUAAAUUAAUUUUUACUUAGAUUAAUCCUAGUCAUUGAUUGCAAAAAUUAAUUGUCUAUUAAUUGUGCUGAAGGGAGCUAUAGAGAACCUUGCUGCAGAGAAUCCAAAUUCCUCUUCAUAGAACUCAGAAUCAUGCAGUUUGAGAAUUUUGUUGAAGUUGACUUGAGACAAAGGUUCUUGCUCCUUUGCAAUAAUAAAUAAACUAAAAGCUACAAUUACCUACGAGAUUAGAAAUCAUUUAGCAAAGUAGUCAAUAAUAUCAUUAUUUAGCAAGUACUUAAGGAUUAUGGCAAACCUAUUGUACUGCAUUAGUUGCCUUGUACACUGGUAGGAUACCUAGUAGGUAGUAAGAAUCCAUAAGUGAUUAACUUGAACAUUGCAACAAAUGACAGAUGAAUGACCAACCAGGAACAAUUACCAGAACACAACUUAACACACAGGAAAAGAUUUUGUUACAAUGUUAGUAGAGUUGUUUGUGCCAUUCUUGAAAGAAAACAAGUUCAGCAAACCAAGGAAAUUCAAAAAACUGAACCAUUUCACAUACUUAUCAUUCCAAGUUGCAGCUUCAGACCCAAACAAACUUACAAUUACAGAAACAAUUUAGAGCUUGUUUAGAUAUGCACCAAAGAGCACUUAUUGGAGCUUAUCUACUGGGAAAAAAAACACUAGAUAAGCUCCAAUAAGCGCUCUUUGGUUUGCAUUUUGCAUCCAAACCGGUUCUUACACUACAGCACAGUGAUGCUUCUUUCACCGCCAGGCUUCUAUCCUCUCUGAUAUUGAGUCUAUGAGGCUCAAAUUGCUAAUACCUUUUUUCUCAACAGCCACUGUUCCAUGGAUCAUAGGUUGCUGGCCUCUGGUUUUCUUGAAGCCCUUUUUAGCAAUUGAACUACUUGAUUGACCAGUCUUACUCAUCCCAACAUUUCCUUUGGGUGGAAACUGACAAUACAAAUCCUCUUCACAAACUAGAAUCUCAGAAGAGCUCAUCAAACUUUCAGGUUCUCCUUCAGUUGAAUCUUUGUUUUGGAAGGGUUCAGGGGAACAUUCUGAUACAGCUUUCUCCCAAACAAAGGAUUCCACUUCCUCUUCAUUUUCUGAGGCAACAUCUUGCUGGUACGAUCCCAAAGGACUUUGGUCCUCCCCAUUCUCAUCAGAAGGCUCUAAAUCAAAUCUAGGAGAGGGUUCUACCACAGAAUCCUUUCUUCGCUGCAGUGUCCUUAAUAUUAGUGUCUUCAAGAAGUUCAUCACUUGAACUGCAUACAUCAAUGCAGUCAAAGGGUCUGCCAUCUGCAAUCAGCUUUACUCAUCAGAUACAUAAGCCACAUUUCAUUGGCAUCUUAAACAGUCAAGACUUCAAUAAAGUGGAAAGUAUGUCACAAUGACCAUGUAAGUUUGUCAAGCAGUUAUGAUACAUAGGCAGGAAACAGUACAAACCCAUCACAUAUUCUUUAAUUUUUCGCUCUAUCUCUCACUUCUUAUCAUAUCACGUCAUAUAUAACUUUCAUUACCUCUCUCUCUUAUCUUCCUUUCUCACUCGCGGUGUCUACACAACAUUUUCUUUUUCAAGCCACAAAAGGAAGCACUUAAAGCCUUCACAGCUUUAAGCACACACAUGACCAAAUUCAAACAAAUAGGGCUGAAAAUACAUGGAGUACAAAACAUCAAUUGUUGCCAACAUGUCCACAUGCAGUUUAAUAUAUUAGAGAAUGAAAACAAUGAAAAGGACUAAUACAGUAUAUGUAUGCAUUUUCCUCCCUACUAUUCCUGGAGAAACUGAGUUUACUGGAACUAACCUGAGUCAUAUUUGGCGCGAAAACCAUGGCAAUAUUGUGUGCAUUCAUCUUACUCAGAUGUUCCUCUUGGACAACAUCAGCCAUCAGAUUAAUAGCCCAGUCAAGAAGGGAAGCUUCAGUGUGAGGUAGUUGCCUUGCCAGUUCAGCACAAUCCUCUUCAUUUUGACAUUGCAUUACAUGCUCUGGUGAUAAAGAAUCCAGAAUACCUGUAGGCAGUUCCCUAAACCAAGCCUUGGGAAGCACAAGAAUAUCAAAUCAAUAAUCAUGCCAAAACAAAAUCACAAACAAAUUAUAUAGUAAGCAGAAGUUACAGAUUGUAUUUUCUAGGAUUUACUUUCAUUGUUAUACCUUGAUUAGUCCUGCCAAACAAUGUACAUCAAUGCCUUCUGGGAUCACUCCCCUAUUUAUUUGAUCCCUAACAUAUUCCUCUUGAGUAUUGUCUGCAUUAAUUCUGAAAAUCCCCUCUGCCUGCAUACAUAAAUUCAAUUGUUUAACCAAGAUUACAUUUUGACAUUUGUAAAAUGAAGCAAUGACAGAUUGUAGAGUGGUGAAGUAUAAAGGACUGUCUUGUUUUUUUUUUUUUGUAAUUGUGUUCAGUUGUUAUAUUCAACAAUAUGAGAAAUUGAGACAAGGAGAAGAUGAGCUGAGAAAGAUCUAGGUGAUCAACCUGCAACCCUCCUUGGGCAUACAAGUGCCUUUGCAUUUGUAACAAAAUUGUUGGCACACUGUUCCCUCUUGUGUCAUAUGAUAACUGCAUUGAUUCUGUUGAAACUCCAAACACAGUUGCACUGCAUGUGAAAAUGAAAAACAAGAGAAUUCACCAAAAAUCACACAUCACAUUAGUUCAAGGAUUUUGAAUUAACUAAACAAGAAAUGGCAAUCAUGCAUUCAUGAAAAAGACAACUAACAUCUUCAUUCGUGAUGAAUACAACUAACUACAAAUAGGGUAGCUCUUUCAUGCCCGCUCUCAAAUUUAGAGGGCUGUGCUGCUCUCUUCUUAUUAAUCACUAAAAUGUAAAUUUUAAAACUCAUUAUUUGUGAAUUAUGACAGGGCAGCACUCAGGAGGGGUAUGGAAAAGUUUUCACUGCAAAUAUUCUACAAGGUUGACAGAGCUUUGAACUUCCAAAGAAAACUAUAUAAACAUUUUGUCAUAUACGACAUUCACUCAUCACAAGUAAUACAAUUGGACAGAAGUCAUAAAAAUCCUUUUGAUAUUAUCCAUGAUUGUAAUGGUGGCCUAUAGCCCAAGAUAACUACUAGUACUUCCUCC
rnacentral:lncRNA from 1 species